AAAUCCAGAGUCAUCAAAGCACAAUAGUGAAAAGGCAAAUUAAGAUUUAAAUGCUUUCUAGCACACAAAAUAAUCAGUAACAGGAUAGACUCCAUGAAUGUUUCAAAAUGAUCUUGGAGUACUUAUUCCAUAACAUAAAAAAGCUUUACAACUGCUUGUACGCUGGGGCUCUAUGACAUUCUCGUACCCUUGAAGCCCCUGACAGAACUUUAAAGGUAGGACACCUUCUAAAAAUAAAAUUAAAUAAAAAUAAAGGCAUUCAAGUUACACUUCUGGAACAUAAUUUGCCUUCUUUUUAGCAGCCAUCUCCUUCAAGCUCUCCCUUCUUCCCCUUGGGACUUGGAUGCUGGAGCCUGCCUUCAGUUCACAAGUUUGGGAAGCCUUGCUCUCACCUCCUGCUACCUCUGUGUAACCUCUGUGCAUCACAACGUGUCAUCUGCUCACUGCCAUAGACCAGUGCUGCUGCCCAGUUAGACAUUCAAGAAAGUACUGCCAUCAGUGAGAAGGGCAAAAAUCAGAAAUCUCAAUGUUGCUGUUCAGUGGAAUCAGGAAAACAUAUGUCUUGUGGUAAAGAAAGGUCCUCCUUGCACUGAAAUACCUGGAACGUACAAUGAGAACAACUGAAGAUGAAUAUCCCUUCUGUGGAAGGUGAUAGCUGACGCAUUGGAAGAAAUGGUUUCUUACAGUGAGAUCUCUUGUAUCAAGACACAAGAUCUGUAGGACUGGGCAACCUUUCAGCAACAACCAUCAGAGCUGGGAAUAAACCCAUGUCUCCAGUAUACAGAAGAUAACUGAAGUGAAAAAGGCUGUCAAUCACAGAGUGAAGUUAUAACCUGGAAGAGUCCAAGAAUACUCCGCAGUACUGACUUGGGACUACUGGAAAGAAAUAUUAGAUCUAUUUGCUCUGGGUGAUGAUCUCCAUUUUUUGCAACAGAGGCUUUAUAUCAGCCUGAAAAGCUUAAUGAGAGGAUGAAUUUCUGUGGAAAGACAUAACUUUUUACUUAAAAAAACCCCAACAAACCAACAAAAAGCAUCCUACCAAAUUUCUAGUUAACACUGAAGUUGUUGAAGGUUGUCUCUUCAAAAGACAGUUUAAAUAGUAAGGGUGCAUAAGAUUAUGCAGUCCUAGAGUGCUAUUUUUAUUUGGUAGUUUGUAAUUAUUUCACACCUCAGGAAAAAAAGGAAGUCUCUAAGUAAAAUUUCUGCAUUGGAUUCUAUCUGACAGUCCUGGCUUGGCAGCAAGUCUACAAAUUCAAAACCAACUGUGUAUACAACACUUAAGACCAUUGAAACAUUUAGCUGUUGCUUUGUAUGGAUUUUAUCAGACCUAUGGCUGUUGAUAGCAUCACAAGAGCAUCUAUAAUGUGUUUCAGACGAAUAAAAGGUACUUUUUCCUUUCUGUAACUAUUGAGACAGGCAUGAAACAUGACAGGUUUGGCUGUCAUUGUUGUGCUUCUACAACUGAAUGGGAAAGAAAAUGCUGAAAUCGUCUCCUUUUUUCGUUAUGAGAGUUGCUUAUCUAAUUUCUUUGUUAUUGAGCCAUUUUUUUCCAUCCCACAGGUGGAGUCUACACCAGCUCAAGUGUGCUUUUCUGAAAGAGAAGGUAGUAGAGUGGAUCCAGUGGCUCAGACCCUUGAGAACGUUCCUAAGCUAAUAAAAUCACAAGCUUACAAUAUAGAAGAAGAGGGAAAAAAUAUUCUGCUGAAGGAAAACUCUGCUUUUGUGCCCAUGCCCAAGCCUGUAACAGGAAAAUGAUUUUUGCAAUAUCAUCUCUACACUAUACCUUACAGGGAAGAGAAAGCUGACACUCACACUCCCAACUCUCUGAGGAGUCAGGGUCCAUUAAUGACAGCACCUAUGAAGGGCAAGGAAAACCUGAC